rnacentral:lncRNA from 1 species
CCGUGAGGGUAUUGUUGUCAUGGAGACCGCCAUGUUGUUAAGCGGUGUCGAGCGCUCCGUUCCGUUGGAAUGCGUACUUGGACUGCAGGACUGCAUGGAAACCGCGAGGUCACAACCCUGAUGAAUAAAGCGUGAUGGCAGCCCAGGAUAUAUGUCGACUCUGUGACAAGGUCAUCACCUCAGAAGCUUGCGUGUUCUUCACUUAAUGCUCCUGGGCUAGCAGGUGCCUUGGUGGUCGCCCUGACCUUCUCAUCUGUCGGCUGUAUCCCAUUCAUGGUUAACUUGUGGCCAAGGGGUUAUUUUGAGAAAGCAUUUCUGCUGAACCUGUCUUGUCAUGCGGUGCUUCUGCUUUAUAAGCUGGAGAGACAUCUUGGUGAGCUCCACAAGGUCCUUCGACGCGGUGUUUUCGCCUGGGGUGACCAGCACAGGACCAGAAGUCACCCAAUGAGAUUGUUUAUAAACAAGCUUCCUCGAAGUUAAUCCACUUUCAAACAGCCCAUUUCAAUGGCGACCGACAUACCUGAUUUCAUUGAGGAAAUCGGUGGGGAAGAGGAAGAGGAUGAUGACAGCGAGGUUGGAUUACAACUUGUUCAUACUCCAUCUUGAUUAUUCUGCCAAAACCUCUGAAUGGCAAAUGAUUAAUCGGUCUGCAUAUCUGACCAUGUCGUUUAUUAUGCUGGAAUACCAUUUUUCAAAAUCCUAUACACUUUGUCAAUUUUGUUCUACAAAUGUAAUUUUUCA